rnacentral:rRNA from 1 species
UACGUAGGGUGCAAGCGUUGUCCGGAAUUAUUGGGCGUAAAGAGCUCGUAGGCGGUCUGUUGCAUCGGGAGUGAAAACUUACAGCUUAACUGUGAGCGUGCUUCCGAUACGGGCAGACUUGAGGUAUUCAGGGGAGAACGGAAUUCCUGGUGUAGCGGUGAAAUGCGCAGAUAUCAGGAGGAACACCGGUGGCGAAGGCGGUUCUCUGGGAAUAUCCUGACGCUGAGGAGCGAAAGUGUGGGGAGCGAACAGG